rnacentral:rRNA from 1 species
GUAGGUGGCAAGCGUUAUCCGGAACUAUUGGGCGUAAAGCGCGCGCAGGUGGUUCUUUAAGUCUGAUGUGAAAGCCCCCGGCUCAACCGGGGAGGGUCAUUGGAAACUGGGGAACUUGAGUGCAGGAGAGGAAAGUGGAAUUCCACGUGUAGCGGUGAAAUGCGUAGAUAUGUGGAGGAACACCAGUGGCGAAGGCGACUUUCUGGCCUGUAACUGACACUGAGGCGCGAAAGCGUGGGGAGCAAACAGGGAUUAGAUACCCUGGUAGUCCACGCCGUAAACGAUGAGUGCUAAGUGUUGGGGGGGUUUCCCGCCCCUCAGUGCUGCAGCUAACGCAUUAAGCACUCCGCCUGGGGAGUACGGUCGCAAGACUG